UACGGAGGGGGCAAGCGUUGUUCGGAAUUACUGGGCGUAAAGGGCGCGCAGGCGGCUGCUCAAGUCAGGCGUGAAAGGCCUGGGCUCAACCCGGGAAUUGCGCUUGAGACUGGGCUGGCUUGAGUGCGGGAGAGGAUGGUGGAAUUCCCAGUGUAGAGGUGAAAUUCGUAGAUAUUGGGAAGAACACCGGUGGCGAAGGCGGCCAUCUGGACCGCAACUGACGCUGAGGC
rnacentral:rRNA from 1 species